UACAGAGGGUGCGAGCGUUGUUCGGAAUUACUGGGCGUAAAGCGCGUGUAGGCGGUCUAAUAAGUCAGAUGUGAAAUCCCGGGGCCUAACUCCGGAAGUGCAUUUGAAACUGUUAGGCUGGAGUGAUGUAGAGGAUGGCGGAAUACCCAGUGUAGUGGUGAAAUACGUAGAGAUUGGGUAGAACACCGGUGGCGAAGGCGGCCAUCUGGGCAUUAACUGACGCUGAGACGCGAAAGCGUGGGGAGCAAACAGG
rnacentral:rRNA from 2 species